ensembl:lncRNA
AACGUACAUGGGACUGCACUGCAGCCUGACCUGUGGAUCUGCAGCACAGCCCUGGUGGAGGGGAGCCUGCCAUCCCAGCCGUCAUGGGAGGACAUGCCAGGGCUCACCCAGUCCUUUGCACCCCGAAAUCCUCUGGCACUGGGGGCCCUCACCCAGGGGAUGCUGUACAGUGGCUGAUGGCUCUCACUGGGAAAUGUUUCCUCCUGGUGGCAAGAAGCAACUUUUGCUGGUGCCGUCUGUACCCACUGCCCUGUGCCCUCUCUGUGUGGCUCCUGGUGUCGGGACUCAAGAAGAGGAGUUAAUUUGUGGCUUGACUAAUGUGCAGAGCACACUCUGGCUGGCUCUGCUCCAUGCUGUGCUGCUGAGCUAACACUGCAAGAGGAACUCGAUCCCUAGAACAUUAGCAAGUUUGUUAAAGUCAGCAAUGCAGUGGGAAAAUAGGAAUUGCAUUUUAUGUGGACUGAGCUCACCUCAGCGUUUUACAAAAAGGUGGGGCUCUGCUCUGGUGAGGGCUGGGGCAGCUGUAUGCCAGUGCGAGGAAGAGGAGGAGAGAAAGAGGAACCUCAAUGACACAGAUAAGCCCCAAUGUCCCUGCUCAGCCCACGUACCCUUCCCUGCUCCCACACCCUCUUACCCAAGGCCAGGGCCAGUUUCAUUCCAUCCCAGUGGUGCUGCAGGAUCCCCAUCACACCCCAUGCCUGCCACAGGUGUGCCUGACCCAACCCAGAAUGCCCUUUCACAGGAGGCACAGCAGCAGUGCCCUGCCAAACCGUGGCCCUCCAUCAGCACAGCUCAGUGUGCCCAGGCUGGCCGUGCUGUUACCGCGAUUGCUGUGAUGGGCAUCGAGGCGGGCAGCUGCACUGCGGACAGUGAGCAGUGGCUUUGCAAUGCAGGACACCUGCCUGGUGAACCCACCUGCUCUAAUUCUCUACGCCUACUUUACUUCAUGUUUCUGUACGUUUCUGUAGCUUUUUUUUUUUUUUUCUACUGAAAGACUGAAUUUAUCUAAAUAUUUUUUUGAGCCCCAGCAAUGCAUUUGUCAUGGAUCAUAGUAUCACUGCUCAGUGUCAGUACCUCUUAAGUACAAAGGAAUCCCUCUGCAUACUGUCCUCUUCUGUGUUGGCUUUCCCUGCUCUGCAGAACUAAAACCCUUGGAGAAUGUCAGAGAACAGCCUUGCUGCAUUGGAGACUGGCACAGCACGGGGCUCUGCACAUGGAGGCCAGGUGGGAGAUCUGGCUCACUGAGUGCAGGACACCGAGGAAGCAGUAACUGAUCUGCAAAGCUGCAGAGUCCUGGGCACUGUGCCACCUCACAGCGUGACACGGUGAUGCAUGGUCACCAGCAUCCCCUGGGGUGGGUGAGCACAGCUGCAGAGCUCCUCGUCCUCAUCUCCUACAAGUCUGAGACAGUGCUGCAGUGGGUGGAUUCAUUGACAGAACUGAGCCAUCUGGCCAGACCAUGCCUGUUCCAUUCUGUUAAUGGCCCUGGGAUGCAGGCAGGGCAGGGGCUGAGUGGUAGGGAGCCCUGCUGUGAGGCUGUGUGUGCUGCCUGCCACGAAGCUGCGCUGAGCAGUGCCAGGAGCACAGGAAACAGGCAGCUGUCGCCUGCCCAGCACAUACAGACUGCCAUCCCUGUGAGGGCUCAGGGUGCUGCUCACCCCUGGGCUCCCCAGCACUGGAGCUGCACCGCUUGCUGUGCUGCAAUCUGCGCUUACUGCAGCACUGCUGCUGUCUGUGCAUCAUUCCUGCUAGAGAACAAAUCUGAACGUGCUGACUAACUGGAACACCCUGGAUGGGAGGAUUCUGGCCUGUUUCCCAGCGAGAGGCUGAGUGCCCCCGUGCAGCUCCUGGGAACAAACAGCCCGCUCGCAUCGCAGCUCACAGACGCCAGGUGUCAGCUCCCCUACUGACAGAAACCAUCAGCGGAUAGAAGAUAUCCUGCAGUUCAGGGGUGCCUUCCCAAAGCUGGCACUACCAGCACGUAACUCCAG